rnacentral:rRNA from 1 species
AACGAACGCUGGCGGCAUGCCUAACACAUGCAAGUCGAGCGGAUGAGUGGAGCUUGCUCCAUGAUUCAGCGGCGGACGGGUGAGUAAUGCCUAGGAAUCUGCCUGGUAGUGGGGGACAACGUUUCGAAAGGAACGCUAAUACCGCAUACGUCCUACGGGAGAAAGUGGGGGAUCUUCGGACCUCACGCUAUCAGAUGAGCCUAGGUCGGAUUAGCUAGUUGGUGAGGUAAAGGCUUACCAAGGCGACGAUCCGUAACUGGUCUGAGAGGAUGAUCAGUCACACUGGAACUGAGACACGGUCCAGACUCCUACGGGAGGCAGCAGUGGGGAAUAUUGGACAAUGGGCGAAAGCCUGAUCCAGCCAUGCCGCGUGUGUGAAGAAGGUCUUCGGAUUGUAAAGCACUUUAAGUUGGGAGGAAGGGCGAGUAAGUUAAUACCUUGCUGUUUUGACGUUACCAACAGAAUAAGCACCGGCUAACUUCGUGCCAGC